ACCCCUACCCGUCUCCACCCCACCGCAAACCCCUACUCCUUCCCCUUCCAGAUCGCCGCCGCCGCCGCCUCCCCAUCAGCUCCAGCGGCGAGCCCUUCCUCACCGCAUCGCCACCCCCGCGCCCAUCCAUGGCAUCCCCCGCGCCCUUCCAUCAGCAUCCAUGGCCUCCCCCACGCCCUUCCUCACCGCAUCGCCACCCCAACCCUCUCCCUUCCUCUCCCCGACGCUCCCCUCUUUCCGGACCUUCAUCCUCUCCGGCCAGACCAACCGGCCGCGGCCCCUACCCUAGGCAGGGAGGGCGGAUCGCCGCUGCGCGGGCGCACAGGAAGGGGCGGCGACGGAAGCGCAUCCCCAAGAUCUAGCCCGUCAAGCACCGUGUCGAAGUCUCUCCUUCGAGGAGCUCUAUGUGCGGGUGUGCGGAGGCGCUCGUGAGGGCGGUGGUGGCCUUCUUCGACACCUUCCUCGUCGACUGCUUCCUCUUCUGGUUCCGCCGCCGCCCCGGCCCCGACAGCCCCGCCUCCGCCCACCGGGAUCCGCUCGUGCCCAAGGACUGGACAGGGGAGGCGCUCCCGGCCUCGGACGAAGAGAAAGGUUUUGUAGAGAGCACAUUGUCGAACCAGCAGUUGGCAGAUGGCGAUGACACAGAUGAGUAGCUUAGGCGAGAGGUCAUUGUUGUGAAGGCCGUCACGGGAAGGCGUGGGGGAUUUGGCACAAGGCCGAUGAUCGAGUCUAUGCUCUCUCCUCUAUGGAAAGACCUAUUUUCUCUGAUGAUUGUUUUGAAGUGGCAGACCAUGUGAACAACCUGGGCACCAUCGCGGGCUCGAGCACCAAGGAGUUCAUGGAGGUGCUGCAGGGCUGGGGCCGUGGCUGCGCCAACAGUUCUAUCCGGUGAUACUCGAUUAGGGCCCCAUGUGUUUGAACAACUAGUCAAGUAACAUGGGUCCCCACUGGUGGUGCAGCGUCAAGUUUGGAAGCAGCUGGAGUGAAUGCCAGAAAAGUUGAACAGCUUACACAUUUUCCUGAAAUGGUCUGGCAGCACCGCCGCGUCAACGACGAAGGUGGUGACCGCGGCGGCGAGCGGCGCGAGUUUGUGGCUGCGGGACUGGAUGACACGGCUCAUAUAUGUGCUUCUGACUAAUCCAGCUUCUUUUGGUCCAGCUGGGCAUUACUUUGAGUUCAUAUAUGUGCUUGUCACUCCAUAGGUUAUAGUGAUUCCCGCUGUUUCCUUAUAUGUUCUUGUUAUUUGGUUGCUUUCCUAUUCAUGCAUGUUUGUACAGCUAUAUAUAGUUUUGCUGUGAAUCUGUCGUGCAUGUAUUGAAAUGCAGGAAAUAUUGAAUACAUGUUCACUCUCAGUUGGGAUAUUGAAUUGUACAUAGUUAUGUGAUUCAUGUCUGCUUCUUAUCUUAUUAAGUGAUUAUCUUUAUGUUCUUGCUUCUUAUCUUAUUAAGUGAUCUAUAAUUGUUUUUCCUAUGUUGGAACGUGUCUAGUUAAUGACCUGUGGUUACUUAUGUUUAUUGUGUAUCACAUUGAAAAAGAAAAUGCACAAUGACUUAUCUUUGUAUGUCAGGAUUUUUUCUUCAUCUGUUACUCUUCCUUUUGCUAGUGACUUCAUUGUCUUGUGAGAUUUUGCUUCUUUAUUACAGGGUUAAAUAGUCCACUAUUUUGUCUGGUCUCUGUGUCUCAAUGACAGCAAUCUGAACUGAUGUAUUGUGUGCCUUAAAAAGCAUGGCUGCAACCAUUCCUAAUUUUUGUUUGGUUUGGAUUUGGAUGCAGCAGGUGCUCUGCUCUUGCGCACGGUGUGUGUCACCGGUGUAACGGUGCUCUGCUCUUGCGCACGGUGACCGGCGUGACGGCGGCUAUGUAUGGCAGCAACCACAAGCUCAUCGGGAAGUUGAAGAUUUCGCUAGGAGGCUCAAUUCUGUUUGGCCUGAAAGAAUGCAUUUGGGUCAAGAAAGAAGAAUUGAGUCGCAACUGAUUGGUGGUAAUGGUUCUCUGCAGAGAUUUUCUGGGUUCAAUCACAGGUGAAUGCCGUGCAAUAGUGAGUAAAGAAUUUGCAUUGCCCCAUUAAUUGAGUUUCUUUUAUCUAUUCAACACACUCCAACUUGUUGGUUUAAUCAAAUCCUCUAGUAAUGCCACAGCUUGUCAUGGAUGUCGCAUUUCCUCUGUUUUUGGGGAAUUUCGAGAUGUACCAUUCUCUGUUUUGGGAAUUUCUUUGCCGUAAAUUAUUAUAGCCAACUGUUCAGAAUUGUUUUUGCGGGGAGCAAAUCUGUAUAUGCAAAGUGUGUGUGUGUAUCCAGUGAGCAAAUCUGUAGUAAUUAUAGAGUAUAUUAUCUUCUUUCUUUUAUUGGCAAUUUUUUGCUCAGUUCUCUUUUGACAUAUAGUUUGUUCUUUUUGAAU